AAGUCGUAACAAGGUUUCCGUAGGUGAACCUGCGGAAGGAUCAUUUCCAAAAAAUCAAGCAUUGCCUUAUUAUAUACACCUUUUGGUGUGUGAACAGUUGGAUAGAAAAAUCAUUUUACUCUCGAAGCGGAUUAGCAUCUCGAUUGCUACUGUGGAGAGAGGCCUUGAUGAACCCACAUCCUUUUUGUUUAUAUUGCUCAGGCAAUAUCUACAAAGGGACGUUAACAUAAAGUCAUACUAUAUUUCUAAGUCAAAAAGACUUAUUGCUACAUCUCGUAUGUACAAUAUGUCAAUUUACUCUAGUAAAUAUACGACAACUUUUAACGGUGGAUCUCUUGGCUCGU
rnacentral:misc_RNA from 1 species